rnacentral:lncRNA from 1 species
CGCCCGACACUCGGCGGCGGUCACUUCGCAGACCAGACUUCUCUCGUUCAGGCGUCUUGCUCCGGUGAGCCCCCGGGCCCUUUUUUCCCUUUCUUGGUCCCUUGGGACCCUUCCAGCUGGGCGCCAGCACUCGACCCCUUCAUCUACGACCCCUAUUAAGGCGUUUCUAAAUCCGAGUCCUGGGGAAGGUCGUUUUGGGGACCGUGGGGAUGUUAAACCCUUCCAGAUGCUAGAUAAUAGGAACGCGAUCUUGACUUUUUUUUUUUUAACCCUCAAAAUCCGGCGUCUUGCCGUGCAGGUUCAGGGGGAAAUUUAAUUUUUUCCCCCUUAAAGGCAUUCUGUAUUGUCUUUUGAGUUCAGAAACAGAACGAUCCUUUGUUCUAACGCACGUUCUACCGAGCCUUGAGCUUCAACGAUUCUGUAUCCCCCUAGCCUCCGAUGCCUUCUUGGGCUGUCCAGGUUUAGUGUGGGCUGGGCUGUAUCGUCAAAUUUUGAAAGUCCUUCUUACAGAGGAGUGUGAGCAAAGGAUGCUUAGUUGUCCCUAAUGCAGAUCAGGAUUGAUUUAUGGGGUGGUGAGGAGGCAGCUUUGUGAGCCGCUGGCUGCAUUGUUGAGCGCGAGAGAGGAAGCGCGUAGGGCGGUGGUCAGACGCUCGCAGCUGCCGCCUUUGUGAGAGGGGAAAACUAGACCCCGUGCAUCUUUUGGGAGAGAUCACAUCCAGAAAAUGGAAACACAUUUUUGCCACCUUGGCUCCAUUUUCAGGAUUUUUACUCGAUUUUCCCCCAUUUUAACUUGGAAGUGGCUUCGUUAUUCUCUACUUGUUCAACGGGAUUUUGAUUUACCAUUCCGCAAUGAUCAAUUCCAUUACUCGGAAAAAUCCAGCCUUGAAGCCAUCUUCCCCCACGUUUUGAAAUAUUGAGGGGGAGGUCUUUUUUUUUUUUUUAUCUUUUUUUCCCUGUAGAAAGAGGAAUCCCUUUAGUCCUGAAUGGACGAGGAAAGAGGGAGGGGGGGUUUCCAGGCUGCAACUUAGAGGGGAGAAGCGCAUUGCUGAGCGGGUAGAGGCGAGGGUGGGUGGCUCCUUCUCAGUCUUCCUCUUGGCUUUGUACCUCCAGCUUCCUCCGAAACCAUGUCUGACAAACCCGAUAUGGCUGAGAUCGAGAAAUUCGAUAAGUCGAAAUUGAAGAAGACAGAAACGCAAGAGAAAAAUCCUCUGCCUUCAAAAGAAAGUAAGCUCGCACCCUCCGCCCAUCUUCCGAAAAGGCUGGGCGGGAGCGGCGGGUAGGAGGAUGGGAGGGGCUGUAAGGAGAAGGGGGGGGGAGUGCGGGGGUGGAGCCGACAGUUUGAUGAUAAAUGUGGUUUGGAAAGGUUAAUUAAAAAUUGUUUAUAGCCAGCAAACACAGGGCUUUAGUGAUUUAAUAAUGGAAUAUUUAACCUGCCAUAUUAAUAUACAAAUACAUUUAUUUAUUAAAAUGUACUUUGAUUUGAUAUAUUUAAAAGAAAUAUUUUAUUUUAUUAUGGAAUAUUUACAUACCACUUGUAGAAUUUUUGUGAAAUGCAAAAAUGUUUUAAAUGAAAGUAUUGAUUGUUAUGGCGUCCUCUUAGCCUCCAUCUUUUUUUCUCUUUUGUCUUUUUCCGGUCACAGCGAUUGAACAGGAGAAGCAAGCAGGCGAAUCGUAAUGAGGCGUGCACCGCCAAUAUGCACUGUACAUUCCACAAGCAUUGCCUUCUUAUUUUACUUCUUUUAGCUGUUUAACUUUGUAAGAUGCAAAGAGGUUGGAUCAAGUUUAAAUGACUGUGCUGCCCCUUUUCACAUCAAAAAAUCAAGAACUACUGACAACGAAGGCCAGGCCUGCCUCUCCCAUCUGCCUGUCUGGCAGAGAAAGAAAAGAACUUGCAUGUUGGUGAAGGAAGAUAUUGGGUGGGAGGAUGGUGAAAUCUAGAGUAAGAUCCAAGCUGUUUCAAGGUGUCCUGCAGGCUGUAAAAUGCAGUUUAAUCAGAGUGCCAUUUUUUUGUUCAAAUGAUUUUAAUUAUUGGAAUGCACAAUUUUUUUAAUAUGCAAAUAAAAAGUUUUAAAACCUGGCU